AAGCUAAUACCGCAUAACGUCUUCGGACCAAAGAGGGGGACCUUCGGGCCUCUUGCCAUCAGAUGUGCCCAGAUGGGAUUAGCUAGUAGGUGAGGUAAUGGCUCACCUAGGCGACGAUCCCUAGCUGGUCUGAGAGGAUGACCAGCCACACUGGAACUGAGACACGGUCCAGACUCCUACGGGAGGCAGCAGUGGGGAAUAUUGCACAAUGGGCGCAAGCCUGAUGCAGCCAUGCCGCGUGUGUGAAGAAGGCCUUCGGGUUGUAAAGCACUUUCAGCGGGGAGGAAGGCGGUGAGGUUAAUAACCUCAUCGAUUGACGUUACCCGCAGAAGAAGCACCGGCUAACUCCGUGCCAGCAGCCGCGGUAAUACGGAGGGUGCAAGGGUUAAUCGGAAUGACUGGGCGUAAAGCGCACGCAGGCGGUUUGUUAAGUCAGAUGUGAAAUCCCCGAGCUUAACUUGGGAACUGCAUUUGAAACUGGCAAGCUAGAGUCUUGUAGAGGGGGGUAGAAUUCCAGGUGUAGCGGUGAAAUGCGUAGAGAUCUGGAGGAAUACCGGUGGCGAANGCGGCCCCCUGGACAAAGACUGACGCUCAUGUGCAAAAGCGUGGGGAGCAAACAGGACAUAG
rnacentral:rRNA from 1 species